AUGAAAUGCAAGAUGAACAGGAAGCCAGGAGACUGGGACUGCAGGUCCUGCCAGCACCUCAACUUCAGUCGCCGGGACCUAUGCCAGCGCUGCGGCGAGCCACGCAGUGCCGCUGACCGUGGCAGCGUCGGUGGCGCUCUUGGUGGUGACUACGCCAACUUUGGCGGCCGUGGCGUGGGUGGUUCCUCCUUUGGUACCGGCUUUGGUGCCGGCUCUGACGUCCGCCCGGGCGACUGGUACUGCACCUGCGGGGCGCACAACUUCGCCAGCCGCUCCAGCUGCUUCAAGUGUGCUGCCUUCAAGGAGGAAGCUGCCGUCAAUGGUGGCGCUGGUGGCUUUGAUGGUGACAUGUCACGCUCAAGGGGCUUCGGCUUCGGCGCUGUCGGUGGCAUGGGAGCCGGCGCGGCCGGUGGUCGUGCCAGCCGCCCUGGCUGGAAGUCUGGCGACUGGAUUUGCACCAGGUCUGGAUGCAACGAGCACAACUUCGCCAGCAGGCAGGAGUGCUUCAGGUGCAACGCACCGAGGGACUCCGGUAGCGCCACGCCAUACGAAAAUUUCUUGCACUGA
rnacentral:rRNA from 1 species